rnacentral:rRNA from 1 species
CUACGGGACGCAGCAGUCGAGAAUCUUCCGCAAUGCGCGAAAGCGUGACGGAGCAAUGCCGAGUGUGUGAUGAAGGUCUUAGGAUUGUAAAGCACUGUCAACAGGGACGAAGAUCUGACGGUACCUGUAGAGGAAGCACCGGCUAAAUACGUGCCAGCAGCCGCGGUAAUACGUAUGGUGCAAGCGUUAUUCGGAUUUAUUGGGCGUAAAGGGUCCGUAGGCGGUUUGUUAGUCCGAUGUGAAAUCCCACAGCUCAACUGUGGAACUGCAUUGGAAACUGGCAAACUUGAGUAUCGGAGAGGUAAGCGGAAUUCCUGGUGUAGCGGUGGAAUGCGUAGAUAUCAGGAGGAACACCGAGAGCGAAGGCAGCUUACUGGACGAAAACUGACGCUGAGGGACGAAGGCAUGGGGAGCAAAAAGGAUUAGAUACCCCCUUAGUC